CCAGCAGCCGCGGUAAUACGUAGGGUGCAAGCGUUAAUCGGAAUUACUGGGCGUAAAGCGUGCGCAGGCGGUUUUGUAAGUCUGACGUGAAAUCCCCGGGCUCAACCUGGGAAUUGCGUUGGAGACUGCAAGGCUAGAAUCUGGCAGAGGGGGGUAGAAUUCCACGUGUAGCAGUGAAAUGCGUAGAGAUGUGGAGGAACACCGAUGGCGAAGGCAGCCCCCUGGGUCAAGAUUGACGCUCAUGCACGAAAGCGUGGGGAGCAAACAGGAUUAGAUACCCUGGGUAGUCCACGCCCUAAACGAUG
rnacentral:rRNA from 1 species